rnacentral:rRNA from 1 species
GAUGAACGCUGGCGGCGUGCCUAAUACAUGCAAGUCGAGCGAACAGACGAGGAGCUUGCUCCUCUGACGUUAGCGGCGGACGGGUGAGUAACACGUGGAUAACCUACCUAUAAGACUGGGAUAACUUCGGGAAACCGGAGCUAAUACCGGAUAAUAUAUUGAACCGCAUGGUUCAAUAGUGAAAGACGGUUUUGCUGUCACUUAUAGAUGGAUCCGCGCCGCAUUAGCUAGUUGGUAAGGUAACGGCUUACCAAGGCAACGAUGCGUAGCCGACCUGAGAGGGUGAUCGGCCACACUGGAACUGAGACACGGUCCAGACUCCUACGGGAGGCAGCAGUAGGGAAUCUUCCGCAAUGGGCGAAAGCCUGACGGAGCAAAGCCGCGUGAGUGAUGAAGGUCUUCGGAUCGUAAAACUCUGUUAUUAGGGAAAAACAAAUGUGUAAGUAACUAUGCACGUCUUGACGGUACCUAAUCAGAAAGCCACGGCUAACUACGUG